CUCUUUCCUCCAACCACAACCUGUGUCCGCCUGUCCCUUCCACCUCUGGGUGUGUUUGGCGACGGCGCGACAGUUUGUCCACCCAAGGAGCCAUCAAAUUCCCAUGAUGUCAAUUUCCGGACAACAGGUUGGAGACCAAGUUGGUACGUUUCUGGAAGCCUGAGUUCACCUCCGGGUUUGAGCUUGGUGGAAGGAGCGUUUCCUGGGCGUUUGAUUCCUAAUCCCUUCGCUGAGGCCGUCGGCUUGUGAAGUUAGGGAAAGACCCAUUCCUGCCUACAUAU
rnacentral:sRNA from 1 species